rnacentral:lncRNA from 1 species
UUUUGGUUGAUUUUGCUUGUAUGUGGUUUCUUAGAUGGCUAUCAUUAUGGGUUUUUGUUUGGUGAUUUUGCUUGUACGGUGGUUUCUAUAUGCUAUUGUAUUUGUUUUUUUGGUUGAUCGCUUGUUAAGCGGGUUUCUUAAAAGCAUGGCUAUGAUUAUGGUUUUUUUGGUUGAUUUAACGCUUGUAUGUGGGUUUCUUUAGAUGGCUAUCAAUGUUUUUUUGGUUGUGAUUUUCGCUUGUAGGUGGUUUCUUGAUGGCUAUUGUAUGGUUUUGCGUUGAUUUCGCUUGUAUGUUGUUUCUUAGAUGGCUAUCAUAUGUUUUUAAGUUGAUUUCCUUGUAGGGGGUUUCUUAGAUGGCCUAUUGUAUGGUUUUUUUUUGUUGAUUUCGCUUGUAGUGGUUUCUUAGAUGGCUAUUAUAUGUUGUUUUGGUUGAUCGCUUGGUAUGUGGUUUCUUAGAUGGCUAUUUUAUAUGUUUUUUUUGGUUGAUUUCGCUUGUAUGUGCCGUUUUACUUAGAUGCUAUUCAUAUUUUUUUUGGAUUGAUUUUGGCGUUGUAGGUGGUUUCUUAGAUGGCUAUUUGUAUGUUUUUUUGGUGGAUUCGCUUGUAGGUGGUUUCUUAAAGAUGGCUAUUAUAUGUUUUUGGUUGAUUCGCUUGUAUGUGCGUUUCUUAGAUGGCCUAUCCAUAUGUUUUUUUUGGAUUGAAUUUCGCGUUGUAGUGGUUUCUUAGAUGGCUAUUGUAUGAUCUUUUUGGUUGCAUUUCGGCUUGUAGGUGGUUUCCUUAGAUGGCUAUUAUAUGUUGUUUGCGUUGAUUUCGCUUUGUAGUGGUUUCUUAGAUGGCUGAUUAUAUGUUUUUUUUUGGUUGAUUUCGCCUUGUAUUUUGUGGUUUCUUAGGAUGGCUAUCAUAUGUUUUUUUGAUUGAUUUUCUUUGUAGGUGGUUUCUUAUAUGCGCUAUUGUAUGUUUUUUUGGUUGAUUUCGCUUGCUAGGUGGUUUCUUAGGCAUGGCUAUCAUAUGUUUUUUUGCGUUGAUUUCGCUUGAUGUGUUUCUUAGAUGGCUAUCAUAUGUUUUUUUGGUAUUUUCGCUUGUAGGUGGUUUCUUAGAUGGCUAUUGUAGGUUUUUUUGGGCCUUGAUUUCGCAUUGUAUGUGGUGUCUUAGAUGGCUAUCAUAUUGUUUUUUGUUUGAUUUCGCUGUAAAGGUGGUUUCUGUAGAUGGCUAUUGUAUGUUUUUUUUUGUGUUGUUUCGUUGUAGGUGUUUCUAGAUGGCCUAUUAUAUGUGUUUUGUUGAUUUCGCUUGUAUGUGGUUUCUUAGAUGGCUAUAGGAUGUGUUUUUUGGUUUGGGAUUUCGCCUUUGUAUGUGGUUUCUUAGUGCUUAUCAUAUUUUUUUUUUGGUUGAUUUUGCUUGUAGGUUGGUUUCUUAGAUGGCUAUUGAUGUCUUCUUUUGGUUGAAUUUCGCUUUUGUUUAGGUGUUUCUUAGAUGGCUUUAUAUGUUUUUUUCGGUUUGAUUUUCGCUUGUAUGUGGUUUCUUAGAUGGCUACAUAUGAUUUUUUGGUUGAUUUCGCUUGUAGGUGGUUCUUAGAUGGCUUUGUAUGGUUUUUGGCGUUGAUUUUGGCUUGUAGUGGUUUCUUUGAUGGCUAUAUAUGUUGUUUUGGUUGCAUUUCGCUUGUAGGUGGUUUCUUAGAUGAUAUUAUAUGUUUUUUGGGUUGAUUUUCGCUUGUAUGGGUUUCUUUAGAUGGAUAUUAUAGUGUUUUUUGGUUGAUUCCGCUUGUAAGGUUGGUUUCUGGAUGGCUAUCAUAUGUUUUUUUGGUUGAUUUCGCUUGUAGUGGGUUUUUUAAGAUGGCUAUAUAUGUUUUUUGGCUUGAUUUCGCUUGUAGUGGUUCUUAGAUGGCUAUUAUAUGUUGUUUUGGUGAUUUCGCUGUAUGUGGUUUCUUAGAUUGGCUACUUAUAUGUUGUUUGCGUGAUUUCGCUUGUAGGUGGUUUCUUAGAUGGCUAUCAUAUGUUUUUUUGGUUUGAUUGUGGUGUAGGUGGUUUCUUAGAUGGAUAUUAUAUGUUGUUUUGGUUGAUUUCGCUUGUAUGGUUGUUCUUAGAUGGCUAUUAUACUGUUUUUGUGGUUGAUUUCGCUUAUUAGUGGUUUCUUAGAUGGCUAUUAUAAUGUUUUUGGUUGAUUUCGCUUGAGGUGCGUUUCUUAGAUGGCUUUAAUGUGUUUUGGUUGAUUUCGCUUGUAUGGUUUACUUAGAUGGCUAUUAUAUGUUGUUUUUGGUUGAUUUCGCUUGUAGUGUGGUUUCUUAGAUGGUAUUAUUAUGUUGUGUUGGUGAUUCGCUUGUAGGUGGUUUCUUAGGAUGGCUAUCAUAUGUUUGCGUUGAUUUUGGAUUGUAUGUGGUUUCUUAGAUGAUAUUAUAGUUUUUUUUGGUUGAUUUCGCUUGUAGGUGGUUUCUUAGAUGGCUAUUAUAUGUUGUUUUGGUUGAUUUUGCUUGUAUGUGGUUUCUUAGAUGGCUAUCAUAUGUUUUUUUGGUUGAUUUCGCUUGUAUGUGGUUUCUUAGAUGGCUAUCAUAUGUUUUUUUUGGUUGAUUUCGCUUGUAGGUGGUUUCUUAGAUGGCUAAUAUAUGUUGUUUUGGUUGAUUUUGCUUGUAUGUGGUUUCUUAGAUGGCUAUCAUAUGUUUUUUUGGUUGAUUCCGCUUGUAGAUGGUUUCUUAGAUGGCUAUUGUAUGUUUUUUUGGUUGAUUUCGCUUGUAUGUGGUUUCUUAGAUGGCUAUUGUAUGUUUUUGUGGUUGAUUUCGCUUGUAGGUGGUUUCUUGGAUGGCUAUUAUAUGUUUUUGGUUGAUUUUGCUUGUAGGUGGUUUCUUGGAUGGCUAUUAUAUGUUUUUUUUGUUGAUUUCGCUUGUAGGUGGUUUCUUAAUGGCUAUCAUAUGUUUUUUUGGUUGAUUUCGCUUGUAGGUGGUUUCUUAGAUGGCUAUUAUAUGUUGUUUUGGUUGAUUUUGCUUGUAUGUGGUUUCUUAGAUGGCUAUCAUAUGUUUUUUUGGUUGAUUUCGCUUGUAUGUGGUUUCUUAGAUGGCUAUCAUAUGUUUUUUUUGGUUGAUUUCGCUUGUAGGUGGUUUCUUAGAUGGCUAAUAUAU